GACGUAGGGCGCGAGCGUUGUCCGGAUUUAUUGGGCGUAAAGAGCUCGUAGGCGGCUUGUCACGUCGAUUGUGAAAGCCCGAGGCUUAACCUCGGGUCUGCAGUCGAUACGGGCUAGCUAGAGUGUGGUAGGGGAGAUCGGAAUUCCUGGUGUAGCGGUGAAAUGCGCAGAUAUCAAGGAGGAACACCGGUGGCGAAGGCGGGUCUCUGGGCCGAUGACUGACGCUGAGGAGCGAAAGCGUGGGGAGCGAACAGG
rnacentral:rRNA from 1 species